AUUGAACGCUGGCGGCAGGCCUAACACAUGCAAGUCGCAUGGUAACAGGAAACAGCUUGCUGUUUCGCUGACGAGUGGCGGACGGGUGAGUCAUGCCUGGCAAACUGCCUGAUGGAGGGGGAUAACUACUGGAAACGGUAGCUAAUACCGCAUAACGUCGCCAGACCAAAGAGGGGGACCUUCGGGCUUCUUGCCACCAGUUGUGCCCCGAUGGGUGUCGCUAGUAGGUGGGGUAACGGCUCCCCUACGCGACGAUCCCUAUCUGGCCUGAGAGGAUGACCAGCCACACUGGAACUGAGGCACGUUCCAUACUCCUACGGGGGGCAUCAGUGGGGAAUAUUGCACAAUGGGCGCAAGCCUGAUGCAGCCAUGCCGCGUGUAUGAAGAAGGCCUUCGGGUUGUAAAGUACUUGCAGCGGGGAGGAAGGGUGUAAAGUGAAUACCUUUGCUCAUUGACGUUACUCGCAGAAGAAGCUCCGGCUAACUCCGUG
rnacentral:rRNA from 1 species